GCCAGCUUGGGUUGCCCAGGGACCACCCGGUCUUAAUAAAAGUUGUUUUAUUAUUAUUAAAUAUUAUUUUGACAUAGGGCUAUGUAGCCCAGGCUGGCCCGGAGCUCACUGUGUAGCCCAGGCUGGCCCGGAGCUCACUAUGUAAUCCAAGCUGUCCCAGAGCUCACUAUGUAAUCCAGGCUGGCCCGGAGCUCACAGCCAUCUGUCUAUCUCCAUCUCCCUCACUUUCCCACCAUGCUGGCUUCUACAAGAGUGUUAGUGAUCCAGUCUCAGGUCCUCAUGCUCACACAACAGCGGACUCCCCAGUCCUGGAUCUUGGCGACUUCUUUACAAUUAUUUUAGUGCAUGUGUGAAUUAAGCUACGCAUGUGGAGGCCAGAGGACAAUCUAGCAUGUCGGUCCUUGCUAGUCUGUUGUCUGCCACUGCAUACACCAGUGUGGCUGGCCUUUGGGAUUCCAGGGAGUCUCCUGUCUCCUCCAUUAAGAACUCGUCCACUGUACAGAGUGGGGCUUUCCAAGGUUUCUGAGGACUCGAACUCAGGUCCUCACACCUGAUCAAGGCAAGCACUUGAUCCACUGGGCCAUCGCCCCAGCCUUGUUCUUGAUGACCUGUCACGUUUACGAAAACAUAAGGAUGUCCAAAUAUAACUCAAAGGUCGGUCACCAAAGACACAGCGUCCGUCCGCGGUCAUGAAGUGAUGCUGAAAUUCCACCAGGGACCCGCCACCCGGCUUUGCGCAUCGCCGGUUCCACAGCAAACUUCGGGAGGUGCUUCAUGGACGUUGGUUGGAAGAAGAAAGGUCACGUUUCUCAUUUUAACAGGGAACAAGAAUCCAGGGAAUAUGUAACAUUGUGCAUUUAUUUACAAAGAGGUUAGAGAAACACACAGAAUCUGGCCCCCCACGCACUGGGGGGAGUCACCAUUGUCAUAAUAAAUACAAUAUUUUUUUAAAUCAAAAAAAAAAAACAAAUUAAAAAAAAACCCACUGGAUUGGAACAGCUGAGGGUCAGUUUCCCCCACUCCCCACUGGGAGAGGCACGAGAUGGAAACCAUCUUCCUCUCUCUAACCUCCCAGUCCUCCAUAAUUGUCCAGGGAUGGAGCGGAAAGAGUCCUUUCCGGGUGUUGGCAACUCCUACUUGACCCUCAAAAGCCCCUAAGACAGUGCCACUUCUUCCAAAGCACUCUGCAGGCAUAACCUGAGUCAGACAGAGUCUCUGACCACCCGGGAGUCCCAGGGGAUAUCCUAAGGGUCCAGGGACAUGGAGGGGGCACUUUGUGAAUGAGAAGGGAGCCCUAUCUGGGCCAGGAAAAGAAGAAUGAGAAAGCUUUGAUUGAGAAACUGGAGAGGAAACAGACUAAGCUUCUAAACUAAAAGGGAGCGGGAGGAGGAGUUGGGGGGGGGGACAGAGCCUGAACGGAAUUACUGCUUUUGCAAACAUGGUGGACAUCCAUUGUACAGACGGGGAGAGCGAGCCCCACGGAAGGGGCACUUUCUGGUCCAAAGCUUUGAAACCCAGCUGUUGUGGGGCAGUCUGGGCGCCUCUCAGUGUGGGAGAGGGGUGUGUGUGGGGGGGCGAGCAGCCUCUCCAGGGCAGCUGUGGACGGGUCUUUGGAAGGUGGGUGCGGAGGGGGGUGGAGGAUGAGGCGUGUUGGGGGGGUGCACCACGUGCGCCCCCCCUUCCAACAACUCACACAGUCGUCAUGACCUUCAGAGAACCGGAUCUGAAACGCAGGAUCUUCUUCUUCAGCGCGUGCGAUGCCUUGAUCUUCACGAAGACCUUGGCGGGGCCCGC
rnacentral:lncRNA from 1 species